rnacentral:rRNA from 1 species
GGCCUGGGGAGUACGGCCGCAAGGUUAAAACUCAAAUGAAUUGACGGGGGCCCGCACAAGCGGUGGAGCAUGUGGUUUAAUUCGACGCAACGCGAAGAACCUUACCUGGCCUUGACAUGCAGAGAACUUUCCAGAGAUGGAUUGGUGCCUUCGGGAACUCUGACACAGGUGCUGCAUGGCCGUCGUCAGCUCGUGUCGUGAGAUGUUGGGUUAAGUCCCGUAACGAGCGCAACCCCUAUCCCUAGUUGCUAGCAGUUCGGCUGAGAACUCUAGGGAGACUGCCGGUGACAAACCGGAGGAAGGUGGGGAUGACGUCAGGUCAUCAUGGCCCUUACGGCCAGGGCUACACACGUGCUACAAUGGCGCGCACAGAGGGCUGCAAACCCGCGAGGGGGAGCCAAUCUCACAAAACGCGUCGUAGUCCGGAUCGCAGUCUACAACUCGACUGCGUGAAGUCGGAAUCGCUAGUAAUCGUGAAUCAGAAUGUCACGGCGAAUACGUUCCCGGGCCUUGUACACACCGCCCGUCACACCAUGGGAGUGGAUUGCACCAGGAGUGGUUAGUCUAACCUUCGGGAGGACGAUCACCACGGUGUGGUUCAUGACUGGGGUGAAGUCGUAACAAGGUAACCGUA